AAUCUUCCGCAAUGGACGAAAGUCUGAAGGAGCAACGCCGCGUGAGUGAUGAAGGUGUUCGGAACGUAAAACUCUGUUGUCAGGGAAGAACAAGUAUCGGAGUAACUGCCGGUACCGCGACGGUACCUGACCAGAAAGCCACGGCUAACUACGUGCCAGCAACCGCGGUAAUACGUAGGUGGCAAGCGUUGUCCGGAAUUAUUGGGCGUAAAGCCCGCGCUGGCGGUCUUUCAAGCCUGAUGUGAAAGCCCCCGGCUCAACCGGGGAGGGUCAUUGGAAACUGGGAGACUUGAGUGCAGAAGAGAAGAGUGGAAUUCCACGUGUAGCGGUGAAAUGCGUAGAGAUGUGGAGGAACACCAGUGGCGAAGGCGACUCUUUGGUCUGUAACUGACGCUGCGGCGCGAAAGCGUGGGGAGCGAAC
rnacentral:rRNA from 1 species